UACGGGGGGGGCAAGCGUUGUUCGGAAUUACUGGGCGUAAAGCGCACGUAGGCGGCUAUCUAAGUCGGAUGUGAAAUCCCUCGGCUUAACCAAGGAAGUGCACCCGAAACUGGAUAGCUUGAGUACAGAAGAGGAUCGCGGAAUUCCCGGUGUAGAGGUGAAAUUCGUAGAUAUCGGGAGGAACACCAGUGGCGAAGGCGGCGAUCUGGGCUGAUACUGACGCUGAGGUGCGAAAGCGUGGGGAGCAAACAGG
rnacentral:rRNA from 1 species